GAAAGCUGUUUUAAAGAGCACAAGAGAAUCUAAAACCAUUUCAUUAGGGUGACAUCAGAGACAAAAAAAUCCUAAGAAUUAUGUAGAGGACAUCAUUUCACUGACUGAGAUGCGCUUCAUGCAGUCAACCCACUUCACACAAGACUGAUUUUAUCACAUAUGGAAUAAGCAGACUUCACACUCAAAUACCAAGCUUUGCCAGAAAAAGAAACAAAGAAAAAAAUCACAGAGAAACUAAGAGAUGUGAUCAGAAGUGUCAGACAAGGUAGAAAAUGUCACAUCAGAUGAACAGCUUCAGGAAUCCGAUUAAGUUAUCCUUUCUUCAUUUCUAGCCCACUUAACAUGAUUUGAAGGUCAGUCUACACAAGGAGGGCACCAGCACACUUGUCUGUGCGUUCAUUCCCACUUUGAAUUCAAAUGCAGCAUUCAUCAAUGGCCCAGCCACUUUUUUUG